rnacentral:rRNA from 1 species
GACGAACGCUGGCGGCGUGCUUAACACAUGCAAGUCGAACGGAAAGGCCCUGCUUUUGUGGGGUGCUCGAGUGGCGAACGGGUGCGUAACACGUGAGUAACCUGCCCUUGACUUUGGGAUAGCUUCAGGAAACUGGGGCUAAGACAGGAUAGGAUAUCCCGCUGCGUGGUGGGCGUUGGAAAGUUUCGGCGGUCGGGGAUGGACUAGCGGCUUAUCAGCUUGUUGGUGGGGUAGUGGCUUACCCAGGCUGUGACGGGUAGCUGGCCUGGGAGGGUGACCGGCCACAUUGGGACUGAGAUACGGACCAGACUCCUACGGGAGGCAACAGUGGGGAAUAUUGCACAAUGAGCGGAAGCCUGAUACAGCGACGCCGCGUGCGGGAUGACGGCCUUCGGGUUGUGAACCGCUUUCGCCUGUGACGAAGCGUGAGUGACGGUAAUGGGUAAAGAAGCACCGGCUAACUACGUG